ACAACAUUUGGAACGUCUGUCUACCGAGCAAUAUCAUCCGCUCGGUGGAUUAUCUUCCCUUUGUUGU
rnacentral:pre_miRNA from 1 species